CAGAAGGGCCUACCAUGGUAUUGUCCAAUCACAGUGGGACAAGACCAUAGACAGACGAGGAUGGAGAUGUACGCAUGCGCUAUGUCACCACCACGGAAAUAGGCGCUGUAUGAAGCCGGUAAUUACUAGCUCUGAUUCUUGCUAAACUCACCGACUAAGGAGCUGCUUCAUCAACAUCAUGUCCUGUCGGUACCUACUGCUCCUGCCUCUGCUGCUGAUCAUGGGAGUAUCAGCGGUGGAAGUUCAACGCCCUCGCGGUGUCCCUCUAUCAAAACGGCAGUUCUAUGAGGAGGACAAACCCUUUACUUGCCUGGAUGGCUCCCGCACCAUCCCCUUUGACAGAGUGAAUGAUGACUACUGUGACUGCCAGGAUGGCUCUGAUGAGCCAGGCACUGCUGCUUGUCCCAAUGGCAGCUUCCACUGCACCAAUGCAGGUUACCGACCAGGCUUCAUCCCUUCUUCCCGCAUCAAUGACGGAAUCUGUGACUGCUGUGACACAACAGAUGAGUACAACAGUGGUGCAGCCUGUCAGAAUACAUGCAGGGAUCUGGGGCGCAAAGAGAAGGAGAGCCUGCAGAAGUUGGCAGAAAUAGCUAAAGAGGGUUUUCUGCUUAAGAAACAACUUAUCCAGGAGGCCAAGAGAGGGCUGGAGGAGAAGAAGGGCAAACUUUCAGAGGUUCAGGUCACUAAGAAGGAUCUGGAAGGGAGGGUGGAAGCUUUGAGAACGGCAAAGGAGACUGUAGAGCAGCCCGAAAGAGAAGCCAAAGAACGCCAUCUCAAGGCCUGGGAAGAUGAGAAGGCUGUCAUUCGCCAGGAGAAGGAGAAAGUGAGAAUGGCUAGUGUAUUCCUUGAACUGGAUAAUGAUUCAGAUGGCCUCGUCUCAGUUGCUGACCUGCUGUCCCACGCUGAACUCGACCCAGAUUCAGAUGGUUCAUUCACAGAAGCAGAGGCUCAGGGACUGCUGGGAGGAGUGGACAAAGUUGACACAUUUGCAUUUGAGUCUGUUUGGAAUAACAUCAAAGAAAAAUACGUGUCGGAGGCCAGCCCAGACACGCCGGCACCAGUGGAGACUCCACCACAGGAGAAGAGGGACUCUGACAAUGACUCUGAGCCGUACCCUGAUGACGACAUCCCAGAUGAAGAAGAAGAAGAUGAUGAGGACGACGAUGAGGACGACCCAGAUGAGGGAGACUACAAGAGCCCUCCUGCUACACAGACUCAAGGGAGGAAGGAUGAGGAUGAUGAGGGGACUAUGCCACCCUACGACUACGAAACGCAGAACCUCAUUGAUGCUGCUCAGAAGGCCAGGGAUGAUUUUGAUGAGGCUGAGAGAGCUCUCCGCGAAGUGGAUGACCAGAUGAAGAACCUAGAUAAGGAAAUCUCCUUUGACUUUGGGCCUAAUGCAGAGUUUGCCCACCUCUACGACCAGUGUUAUGAGCUGUCUACGAGCGAGUACGUCUACAAGCUCUGUCCAUUCCAUCGAGUAUCCCAGAAACCAAAGUUUGGUGGAUCAGAAACUAACCUGGGAACAUGGGGGAAAUGGGCAGGUCCAGAGAAUGACAUCUACUCUGUAAUGAAGUUUGAACAUGGAACAGGGUGCUGGCAGGGCCCGAACAGAUCCACUACAGUAAAGUUAACGUGUGGAAAGGAGACAGUUGUGACAUCGACUUCAGAGCCCAGUCGCUGCGAGUACCUGAUGGAGUUCAUCAGCCCUGCUGUCUGCCAGGAACCCCCCAGCCUGGAUUCAGAUGUUCAUAAGCACGCAGAACUCUAGAUCAUCAUGUGUUGUCCACUCAAUCCCCAGACAAAAAAAUCAACCUGCGGCAGAUCCUAUAAAGUGGCCUAAUUCUUCAGGAAAACAGCAAACCUGGCAACACUGCUGACACCAAAAUAACACCCAGAGUGGAUCUAUCACAGGUUUUUCCUCAAGGGACCACAGUCACUGCAGCAACAUGAAGUUACCAUGCGGUGAGAAGCUCCACCUCGGUGUCAGUUAACAAUCAAGAAAGAAAGAAAGGAUGUUGAAUCCACACAUCUAAAUUCCACCGCGACCUGUUGUGUUGUUUUUCAUAAAUGUGUCAAAUGUAGACAUUCCAUCGUUUUCUCAAAUAAAGUUAAUUUUAUCUUAUUCCA